UGUCACUUUUGCAGCACAGAGACAAAGUUGGAACCAUGCAGAGAAGAUUAGCAUGAGAAGAUUAGCAAGGAUGACACUCCAGUUUGUGAAGCUUCCCAUAUUUUU